UUAACUGAUGAACACUCCUUCUUCUGUGUCUCAACAGAAAAGUUCACAUUUUAGGGUCUUUCCAGAACAUCAAGAUGGCCCGGACAGCGAUUUGUAACUUAAUCUUAGGAAGCCCACCUUCAAAGGUCUACGGUAACAUCAGGGUGGUGGCUAGCCGGACUGCAGAGAGAUUCUGAUUGGCUGCUGUGUGUGUUUUGCUGUCCCCCAUUGGCUGGUGGGAUUCCCUCGUUGAUCUGGGACUUUUUUUCUUGGACUGCCGCCUCAGGCUUCUCUUUUAUGGCCCCGUAAAUUAAGCUGAAACCUUUUUGGAUCGGUUGAACCAUAGCGUGAGGAUAAAUGGAUACAGAGUUCAAGUAUCGGUUGUUUGUGUAAAUAAAUAAUGUCAAUCCCCACUAA